rnacentral:rRNA from 1 species
GUUUGAUCCUGGCUCAGGAUGAACGCUGGCGGCGUGCCUAACACAUGCAAGUCGAACGGAACUUCUUCGACAGAAUUCUUCGGAAGGAAGUUGAUUAAGUUUAGUGGCGGACGGGUGAGUAACGCGUGAGUAACCUGCCUUUGAGAGGGGAAUAACUUCCCGAAAGGGAUGCUAAUACCGCAUGAAGCAUAUUUAUCGCAUGGUAGAUAUGCCAAAGAUUUAUCGCUCAAAGAUGGACUCGCGUCCGAUUAGCCAGUUGGCGGGGUAACGGCCCACCAAAGCGACGAUCGGUAGCCGGACUGAGAGGUUGAACGGCCACAUUGGGACUGAGACACGGCCCAGACUCCUACGGGAGGCAGCAGUGGGGGAUAUUGCGCAAUGGGGGAAACCCUGACGCAGCAACGCCGCGUGAAGGAUGAAGGUUUUCGGAUUGUAAACUUCUUUUAUUUAGGACGAAUUAUGACGGUACUAAAUGAAUAAGCUCCGGCUAACUACGUGCCAGCAGCCGCGGUAAUACGUAGGGAGCAAGCGUUAUCCGGAUUUACUGGGUGUAAAGGGUGCGUAGGCGGCUUGGUAAGUCAGAUGUGAAAUGUAUGGGCUCAACCCAUGCACUGCAUUUGAAACUAUUGAGCUUGAGUGAAGUAGAGGUAGGCGGAAUUCCCUGUGUAGCGGUGAAAUGCGUAGAGAUAGGGAGGAACACCAGUGGCGAAGGCGGCCUACUGGGCUUUAACUGACGCUGAGGCACGAAAGCGUGGGUAGCAAACAGGAUUAGAUACCCUGGUAGUCCACGCUGUAAACGAUGAUUACUAGGUGUGGGGGGACUGACCCCUUCCGUGCCGCAGUUAACACAAUAAGUAAUCCACCUGGGGAGUACGACCGCAAGGUUGAAACUCAAAGGAAUUGACGGGGGCCCGCACAAGCAGUGGAGUAUGUGGUUUAAUUCGAAGCAACGCGAAGAACCUUACCAGGUCUUGACAUCGAGUGACGAAUCUAGAGAUAGGUUUUUCCUUCGGGACACAAAGACAGGUGGUGCAUGGUUGUCGUCAGCUCGUGUCGUGAGAUGUUGGGUUAAGU